UACGUAGGGGGCAAGCGUUGUCCGGAGUUAUUGGGCGUAAAGAGCGUGUAGGCGGUCUGGUAGGUCUGUUGUGAAAACUCGAGGCUCAACCUCGAGACGCCGAUGGAAACCAUCAGACUAGAGUCCGGAAGAGGAGAGUGGAAUUCCUGGUGUAGCGGUGAAAUGCGCAGAUAUCAGGGAGAACACCCGUGGCGAAGGCGGCUCUCUAGUACGGUACCGACGCUGAGACGCGAAAGCGUGGGGAGCAAACAGG
rnacentral:rRNA from 1 species